rnacentral:rRNA from 1 species
UGGGGAAUAUUGCACAAUGGGCGAAAGCCUGAUGCAGCAACGCCGCGUGCGGGAUGACGGCCUUCGGGUUGUAAACCGCUUUCAGCAGGGACGAAGGUUUUCUGACGGUACCUGCAGAAGAAGCACCGGCUAACUACGUGCCAGCAGCCGCGGUGAUACGUAGGGUGCGAGCGUUGUCCGGAAUUAUUGGGCGUAAAGAGCUUGUAGGCGGUCCGUUGCGUCGGAAGUGAAAACUCAGGGCUUAACCCUGAGCCUGCUUUCGAUACGGGCGGACUUGAGGGAUGUAGGGAGAACGGAAUUCCUGGUGGAGCGGUGGAAUGCGCAGAUAUCAGGAGGAACACCAGUGGCGAAGGCGGUUCUCUGGACAUUUCCUGACGCUGAGAAGCGAAAGCGUGGGGAGCAAAACAGGCUUAGAUACCCUGGUAGUCCACGCCGUAAACGGUGGGCACUAGGUGUGGGACCCAUUCCACGGGUUCCGUGCCGUAGCUAACGCA